rnacentral:lncRNA from 1 species
AUAAUAAUAUUUGCAAUGUUAGAAGGUGCAUAACCACUUAAUUAUUAGGAUAUAAUGCAAGACAAAGUGUGGAAAGAUGCAAUGAAGGAGGAACUCAAUUCAAUUUAAAAAUAUGGCACAUGGAAACUAACUUAACUACCAGAAAGAAAGAAGUAAAUUGAUGUGAAAUAGAUUUUCAAAGUAAUGUUGAGUCUAGAAGGAAUAAUAGUGAAUCACAAAGCAAGACUUGUGGCAAGGGGUUUCCUUCAAAGACAAGGUAUG